rnacentral:tRNA from 1 species
GCCGGGAUGGUGGAAUUGGCAGACACGUACGUUUGAGGGGCGUAUGGCUUAUGCCGUGGGGGUUCGAAUCCCCCUCCCGGCA